CACAUCAAUCUCAUUACACAAUACGUACAUACAUAGAUCGGACAUUCAGUACACAUGAUCUAUAGUAUACCCAGCUUAGUUUAGAGCCGAUGGAUUACUUCUUAUCUUUCUUUCUUUUUUGCGGGGAAGGAUUACUUCUUUAUCUAUAGAGCAACCUCGUAGAACAACCAUAAUCACGAGCUGUGCUUGAUGAGUGUACACCCAUCAGUUGUUGCUGUUGUUGGUCGACGCGGAUACAUCGGCCGCUGGCGGGCACGGGCAUGGCGGCUUGGGCUUGGGCUUCGGCGGACACGGCUUGGGCUUGGGCUUGGGCUUGGGCGCAUGAGGAGGGCACGGCCACUUCGGUGAACCGCCGUGGUUCGGAGGUGCGGGCUUCGGCGGCUUGGGCUUCGGUGAACCACCGUGGUUCGGAGGUGCGGGCUUCGGCGGCUUGGGCUUCGGUGAACCACCGUGGUUCGGAGGUGCGGGCUUUGGCGGCGUGGGCUUCGGUGAACCGCCGUGGCUCGGAGGUGCGGGCUUUGGCGGAGUGGGCUUCGGGCUUGGCGGCUUCGGGCCCGGGCUGGGCUGCUUGUGGUAGCAUUUGUCCCCGCAUGCUUUGUAGCAUUCCGCCU
rnacentral:lncRNA from 1 species